GGAUGCGAUCAUACCAGCACUAAAGCACCGGAUCCCAUCAGAACUCCGAAGUUAAGCAUGCUUGAGCGAGAGUAGUACUAGGAUGGGUGACCUCCUGGGAAGUCCUCGUGUUGCAUUCC
rnacentral:rRNA from 16 species